CCGCUGCCCUAAUUUUAAUGGAUUCACGAUACAAUUAGUAUCAAAUGUCGACCUACACUUCCCUUCCACAAAAAGCUGCAACAACCAAAGCCCCCUGCCCUGCUUCCCCUUCCCCACGAAAGCCCCCUGUCCUGCUUCCUUGGUAUUCGCUGCAACAACCAACAACCGACGCCCUCUGCCCUGCUUCCCUUGCAUGAUUCUGACUCCUAUGCUUAGAAAUGGAGAAACAAAGGAUUUGAUUGGAACCUUUGAGAGGCAUAAAGGUGUCGUUUGGAGUUGCUGUCAUUAGUUUCCUUUCAUAAUUGUGUAUUUAUCAAUAUAAGUUUAAUAAUAUGAUAUUCAUCUUUUCAAUACACUAACAAUUUACUAUCAAUCUCAUAGUAAAUAAAAAUCAAUUGAUUGUAUCACAAGACUUUUCAUUCUGCAAUGUUGAUUUUAUCUAUUUCAAGCUGGUUA